rnacentral:rRNA from 1 species
CAGGUCAGCAUACUGCCGUGAAUACGUUCCCGGGCCUUGUACACACCGCCCGUCACACCAUGAGAGUUGGGAAUACCCGAAGCCUGUGAGCUAACGAAAGAGGCAGCAGUCGAAGGUAGAACCAAUGAUUGGGGUGAAGUCGUAACAAGGUACC